rnacentral:lncRNA from 10 species
AAUUCCAGCUAUUCGGGAGGCUGAGGCAGGAGAAUUGCUUGAACCCGCAUGCGGAGGUUGCUUUGAGCCGAGUUUGCACCACUGCACUCCAGCCUGGGCGACAGAAUGAGACCCCGUCUCAAAAAAAAAAAAAAAAGAAAGAAAGAAAUUAUAUUUCCUGGCUAAGCGCGGUGGCUCACGCCUGUAAUCCCAACACUUUGCAAGAAAAAAGAAAAUUCUUUUUCCUGACCCAUCCAUCUAGCAUCCCACCUGACUAUUCAGUUUAGUUCAUCUGAAAUUUAUUGAGCUCCACAGUUUGGUACUCUACAACUCUUGGAUAUUCAAAUAUUUACAAGUUACUGAAUUUGUCCUCAAGAAACUCAGCUUAUCCGACUUUGUGGUUCUAUGGAGAAGAAAAAAAAAAACUGGGAAAGAUAGCCCUGUAAGCAAAUAAACAUAAUGCAGUUCCUGAGUGCUAUGAUAGAGAUAUACACAGGGUGUUGCAGAACCAUACCCAGAAGGCUUGCAAAAGGCUUUCCAAAAGGAAGUCACGCCUACGUUGUGUUCAAAGGUUAGGAAUCUGGGCAAGGAUGUCCGGGAAGGGUGGGAUUUCAAGUUUAGGAACCUGAGUGCAAAGGAACUACCAGUGAUUAUUGCUGCAGUUUAGAGCUUGAGGCCGGGCGCGGUAGCUCACUCCUGUAUUCUCAGCACUUUGGGAGGCGGAAGGAGGCAGAUUGCUUCAGCUCAGGAGUUCGAGACCCCUCUGGGCAACAUAGCUAAACCUGUCUAAAAAAAAAAAAUAGCUGCGCGUGAUGGCGUAGCCUGUGCUCCCAGCUACUCAAGAGGCUGAGGUGGGAGAAUCACUUGAGCCCAGGAGGUCAAGUCUGCAGUGAGCUGAGAUCAUGCCAGUGCACUCCAGCCUGGGCGAUAUAGUGAGACCCUGUCUCUAAAAAUAAAAUAAAGCUGAAUGAAGGCUUUUAGAGGUAGAUUGUUGCUAGGGCCGCAGAGGCUUUCCUUUGUAUAUAGGCUAAGAACUUUAUCCUCCAAGCAAAGGUGCAAAAUAUUAGGGCACAAUCUGAAGAUCAGUAAGGGUGAGGUAAUAUAAAUUACAGCAUGACAUACCAUAAAAUAAUUAAUUAUAUUGACUAGUUCAGAUGUUCCCAUAGUUGUCUGUAUCUUGUGUUCAUCAUGCAUAAGGAGGAAGACAGGAAAGAAAGUUCUACAGUCUGUAUCUUGUGUUCAUCAUGCAUAAGGAGGAAGACAGGAAAGGAAGUUCUACAGUUCUUAACCACCUACCUCCUGUAUUUUUUUCUUCCUCCCUGGUCUUCCAUAUUACCUAAUUUAAUCUGUUGAUGGCGCCAUUGAAUCUCUCUCUGGACUACAAAAGGCAGUUCCUAACCAAUCCAAAUUUACCUUGUCUUAACAUAUGGGAAGCCAGCAUUUCCCAAACUUUGUUGUUUGUGAACUCUCUUCACUGCAACUGCUAGCUCUCCCCACCAAAGACCACCAGAAUAACCUGUCAGAAGGUGAUUUGCCCAAUUCAAUGAUCAGCUCAACUUCUCAGUGCCUGAGAAGGAAGCUUUGCA